AGUUUUAAAUUUGACUCGAUGCGUAUUAUCUCUAGGUAUGUGCAAUGCAUGUAAUAUUGCUCUUGAUUUUCAACGUUGACGGUUAAUGGCCAUCGCACAACUGGGUAUCUUCUUCAUCGUCAAACGCUGCUUCAUUUUUUGUUGAUAUCUGUGAUGGAGAAAGAAUCAUCAUCUGCAAUUUAAAAACUUUUUUACAUGGACAACAGCACUCUGUUGAGUAUUUUACACCAUAUUUAUCAACUAUUAGUUAGGGAAGAUGUUCAUCAUCUUCAUAUGUUUCAUUUUACGUUUUCUUCAAAGCAUCGUGUGUCCGGUACAAUAUUUCACUAUAUUUUAACUGGUUUGAGAUAUUUGAUAUGAUAUUUUAACAAAAGAAUAGAGAAAUGUAGCCAGCGGACAAUUAUUGCACGUUUUAAAAAGGUAAACAAUUCGUUGAUGAUCCAAUGUUCUCCUCAAACCACAAUACAAUGGCGGCUCGAUGUGGUGAAGAUAUUUAUACUCACUAGAAAAUCCGACCUCAUCAUGAUUUCAUCAUGUGAGCGGCUGUUGCCCGAUCAUCUCAUUAGAGCAAUCAUCGGCGAUAGAUCUGCUCACCAUACAAACAAAAUCAUUUGGGGAUCCCCAAAUGACAAUCCAGCCUGCUCUCACUAUGGCGAGCUCAAUGACAGCUGCUUCAACCCAUACUGAGAGGCUAUCAUCGUUUCCUGCUGCGUACUGAGCAAGCUUCUUUUCCCCUCACUGAGGCGAGAUGAUUUUGUUUGUAUGGUGAGCAAAUCUAUCACCGUUGAUUGCUCUAAUGAGAUGAUCAAGCAACAGCCGCUCACAUGAUGAAAUCCUGAUGAGGUCGGAUUUUGGAGUGAGUAAAAAUUUCUUCCCCACAUCGAGCCGCCAUUGUGUUGUGGUUUGAGGAGAACAUUGGAUCAUCUACGAAUAGUUUACAUUUGUAAAAUUGGAUCAUUUCUCGAUUCUUUUGUUGAAAGAGCAUAUCAAAUAUCCCAAAUCAGUUAAAAUAUAGUGAAAUAUUGUACCGGACACACGAUGCUUAGAAGAAAACAUAAAAUCAAACAUGGGAAGAUGAUAAACAUUUUCCCUUACUAAUAGUUGAUUUACAGCCUCUAGGCAUCAACAAAACAUGAAGCAGCGUUUAACGAUGAAGAAGAUACCCAGUUGUGCGAUAACCAUUAACGUUGAAAAUCAAGAGGAAAACAUGGAUUGAAAAUACCUAGAGAGCCUAGAACCUUUCUAGGAACACCCAGAAAAACCGCAUCGAGUUGAAUUUAAAACGGAAAAAAAUGCACCACAAAAGGCCUUAUUUGGAUUGUGUGAGAUUAUUAGCAAUGGCGGAUUAAGACGAGUGGAGGCCCUAAGCGAUCACACGAAAUUAGAGGCUUGAUUGAAGCGUUUAGAAGGGGAUUGUAUCAGAUGUCCUAGUCAGAGAAGGAUUGAGUAGCAAUUUUACUUGUGAGCGGGGCGUAGGUGCCAUUUUUGGGGCCCCUGGCCGACACAGAUGUUCGAUACUGUUAUAGAGGCGUUUUAGGGCGAAAUGUGAGAAGUGAGCCAAGUAUUGUUUUAAAUAAGUACAACAUCGUUUUAGCCAAGCCACGGCAAUAUCACAAAAGAUACUUAAACAACUGAAUACGAUGGACCACAUUAAAACUGAGAGAAAUACAUAUCUAAUCAAUUACUUAAAAAAUAAUAUAAUUGUAUUGAUUCUUGAUGUAUUUUGUAGUUCUGACCUGCAUGCACAAUUCUAAAACAUUCAUAUGAAUCACAGAAAGGCCUAAAACCUAAAGGCCUGCCUAAUAAACUCGAUAAUAGCACCCAGGAAAGAACCCUAUAAAAGCUAAAUAAAAUCACGUGCUUUUAAUGGUUUGUAGUGUAAAUUGAUUGACAGAGCCGGCUGGCCACAUGUACAUAACAUGUGCUGUUUUGCAGUGUUCUUACAUCCUCCGUUAUUUGCAAAUUCAUCCAUGCUUAGAAAGCGUACACUCCUUUUCCACUGCUAGUCA